rnacentral:lncRNA from 1 species
AAAAACCAAAACUCACCGCCAGCGGAGUUCUCCAGUGCGGCGGCUUCGCUGGCUCACUUUUGCGGUUGGAUGUUUUGCUUCGGUCAACCUGUAGAGAAUGAAACAAUGAUUAAAAAUGGUAGAAAAAUUUUACAGAACGGGAAUUGGGAAGGGCCUCAUCAGAGACAGUUUUCGUAAUUUUUCGCGGCAGUGCCAUCGGACUUUGCCCACAAUUUUCGGCAAAACAGCCGGUCAUUUUGCUCUGAUUUAGUCAUGUAG